AUUGAACGCUGGCGGCAGGCCUAACACAUGCAAGUCGAACGAGUGGCGGACGGGUGAGUAAUGUCUGGGAACCUGCCUGAUGGAGGGGGAUAACUACUGGCAACGGUAGCUAAUACCGCAUACCAUCAGAUGUGCCCAGAUGGGAUUAGCUAGUUGGGGGGGUAACGGCUCACCAGGCCGACGAUCCCUAGCUGGUCUGAGAGGAGGACCAGCCACACUGGCACUGAGACACGGUCUAGACUCCUACGGGAUGCAGCAGUGGGGAGUAUUGCUCAAUGGUCGCGAUCCUGAUGCAGCCAUGCCGUGUGAAUGAAGAAGGCCGUAGGGUUGUAAAGUACUUUCAGCGGGGAGGCGUGACCCGCAGAAGAAGCACCGGCUAACUCCGUGCCAGCAGCCGCGGUAAUAC
rnacentral:rRNA from 1 species